AGAGUUUGAUCAUGGCUCAGAAUGAACGCUGGCGGCGCGCCUAAUACAUGCAAGUCGAGCGAGAAGACGUAGCAAUACGUUUGUAAAGCGGCGAACGGGUGAGGAAUACAUGGGUAACCUACCCUCGAGUGGGGAAUAACUAGCCGAAAGGUUAGCUAAUACCGCGUACGCUCCUUGGACUUCGGUUCAGGGAGGAAAGCGCUACCGUGGGUAGCGCGCUCUUGGAUGGGCUCAUGUCCUAUCAGCUUGUUGGUGAGGUAACGGCUCACCAAGGCUUCGACGGGUAGCUGGUCUGAGAGGACGACCAGCCACACUGGCACUGCGACACGGGCCAGACUCCUACGGGAGGCAGCAGUAAGGAAUAUUGCGCAAUGGGCGAAAGCCUGACGCAGCGACGCCGCGUGGGGGAUGAAGGUCUUCGGAUUGUAAACCCCUUUCGGGAGGGAAGAUGGAAUGGGGUAACCCAUUCGGACGGUACCUCCAGAAGCAGCCACGCUUCG
rnacentral:rRNA from 1 species